UACGUAGGGGGCCAGCGUUGUCCGGAAUCAUUGGGCGUAAAGCGCGUGUAGGCGGUCCGGUAAGUCCGCUGUGAAAGUCGGGGGCUCAACCCUCGAAUGCCGGUGGAUACUGUCGGGCUAGAGUGCGGAAGAGGCGAGUGGAAUUCCUGGUGUAGCGGUGAAAUGCGCAGAUAUCAGGAGGAACACCAAUUGCGAAGGCAGCUCGCUGGGACGUUACUGACGCUGAGACGCGAAAGCGUGGGGAGCAAACAGG
rnacentral:rRNA from 1 species